rnacentral:miRNA from 1 species
GGGCUGUGAGAGAUGUUCCCUU